rnacentral:rRNA from 1 species
AUUGAACGCUGGCGGCAUGCCUUACACAUGCAAGUCGAACGGCAGCGGGCCCUUCGGGGUGCCGGCGAGUGGCGAACGGGUGAGUAAUGCAUCGGAACGUACCCGGGAGAGGGGGAUAACCGGCCGAAAGGCUGGCUAAUACCGCAUGAACUCGGAAGAGCAAAGCGGGGGACCUUCGGGCCUCGCGCUCUCGGAGCGGCCGAUGUCCGAUUAGGCUAGUUGGUGGGGUAAAGGCCCACCAAGGCGACGAUCGGUAGCGGGUCUGAGAGGACGAUCCGCCACACUGGGACUGAGACACGGCCCAGACUCCUACGGGAGGCAGCAGUGGGGAAUCUUGGACAAUGGGCGCAAGCCUGAUCCAGCAAUGCCGCGUGGGUGAAGAAGGCCUUCGGGUUGUAAAGCCCUUUCGGCGGGGAAGAAAUCGGUCAGGCGAAGAGUCUGGCCGGAUGACGGUACCCGCAGAAGAAGCACCGGCGAACUACGU